GAAAGACCAUGUAAACUUGAGAACCAGUGCAACUGAGUUCAUCUGUUCCACAGUAUCAGCUUACUGAGCAACGUUAUCCAGGGAGCCCUAUACCUCUGGCCAUUGCUGAUUAGACAAGAAUAAGCAUUUGGUUAUUUGUGACAAACCUGAUUUUUUUCCAGUGAUUCAUACUAAUAGUGCCAGAGAUAUUCCGAGGUAUUCAGAGAUAUUGACACCUUAAGGUUAUAUAUUCUAAGGCCAGUGGCCAAUUUCAUCUAUGUUUAAGUUAAUAAUUAAACAGGGAAAUCUGGUGCUAUUGUGUGGUCUAAUAAAUAAAAUAUUCUGAGUAUUUGGCUUAAUGAGCAUGCCUUGGAAUGAGUGGCAGAUAGAGAAAGGAGACCAGCUACCUGCUUACUUUUUAGUUCCUGGGAGUCCCGGCUACUCUUUCUUUCAGUCAGUUGGUGAGAUUCCCUUGUGUUCAUCGGAUACAUUCAUUUUUUCUUAGCUAAUUUAUGUUCAUUAAAAUAACACUAUCCUUAACCAGGAAGAAUAAUAAAGUGUUCCGUAACAUACAUAUUUAGAUUAGUCUUCACUCUGAAUUUCUUUUGUUUAAAGUGAUUCAAAGAAACCAUUUAGCUUUAGAUUGACACAUUUCCAGGGGAGGAUUUUCACCUAAAAGAACAGACUGUGGAAAGACCUACGGGCUUAUGUGAUGAAGGAAAAACAAAGAGAACUCAAAAGAUGAGGAAAGAACUUGAAAGUUAAAUUCUGUUACUUCAUAUCAGUAAGUGAUUUCUUCUAUAUAAUUUACACUGUAAUAUUCUUUAAAUGAACAAAAAUAUGUAUAUUUGUAAAAGGCCCUAUGCAUACACUAGUAAGAAAUGUGUUAAAAAUGAAAGAAAAAUGCUGACAUGCCUAGGAAUGAUUAUGAUAAUGAUAACGAUUGUAAAUAUUAUGGGCCAGACACUCUACCAAUACAACAAAAAUAACAGCAAUAAACUUUACAUGGAUGAUAACAUUGAAUUCUAACAACAGUUUUAUGAAUUUAGAAAUGUUAUGUCUAUUUUAUGAAUAAGGAAACCUAGACUUAGAGCGGUUAAAUCACAGUCCAAAGUUAUACAGCUGUAAUAUGGUGGAUUCAAAUUGCAAAAUCAACUGAGUAUUGUUUUAGAGUCCGUGAUCUUAAGCACUCUGCUUUAAUAUACUUAGAGGAAAACUUUCCUCAAUUUCUGGAGAUGAAGAAAUGGAAAAUUAUCCAACCUAGUGGCAAUGCAAACCAUCUGAGAAAGGAGAGUCUGGGAGUGUGGCUGUCUGAGACACAUCAUUUCAUCCCAGCCGGUGCUCUUGGGAAGAAUUAGGACUUUGUAAGAAAUACUUAAUUUGAAAAGGAUUAUCUUGACACUUCUGUGGAAGGUCGACCAGAAAAAAGAAGAUACAUCAUAAGACUAUUUUAGUAAUUCAAAUGAAAUGAAAAUGUCCAGUUUGGGGUUAUAAUUAUCAAGGUUUAUAGAAGCUGGUAAAGGAGAAAAAUUGUUACAGAUAAUUUAAAAUUUUGAGUCUGGUGGACUGAAAAAAUAAUGAUGCCAUUGGGAGCAAAAGUAAAAUUAUAAAGUGUCUGUUUUUUGAUGAGGGAAAAAAUAUAUUUCACUCAAGCUGUGAGCAAAGAUGUGAGAUAGAUCUUUUCUUAUUCAAGUGAAUUAUCUUCCUGUUCUGUUCUAGUCAGGCUUUCUGAGUGUGCAGGUCAGCAUCUCAACCUCAAAUUAUUCUUUUAGCUCGUCUUAUUGUGGUGUUUGUCUUGUUCUUUGAGACUGUGUCUUCUUAUCUCAUAUCCAUUCUUCAUUAGCUGGAUAGUACACUAUCUUAUAUGCUGAUAUCCUGUCUUGUAUCUCAAAAAGAUCCACGGUUAUGGAGGCCAGUAGCUUAACCCAGUGGUUGGAGAUUCUAACUAGUAGUAGCUCUUCGGUGCCAACUUUAUACAUACUUGGAUUUUGACUUACUGACUGAUACGCACAAUUCUUGUAGUGUCAUAUUGUUUACCUUCCAAUAUGUCAGCUUGAUAACUUGCCUCAGAUAACCUUGAUUCUCAAAGGAACAUCAUCAUAGAUGUCUACCAAGUUUCCAAAGAUCAGCCAUUUCCAGUGGAGCAGAUUGUACUCGGGCCAUAGUCCAAAUACUUAUUUUCUUUAAUUUCCCUGUAUAUUCAUUAUGCCUUGAUGUUACUUAAUAGAUCAGAUAUAUUUAUUACACAUUUGCCUAUAUAUUAAUACACAUGUGCACUCUGAUCUAUUUAUUAUGUUUAUUAAUUACUUUCUUUGUUUUCCAAAAUUGGAAUCAUGCUACAAAUAUUGGUUUGUUUUUUAAAUGUUUAUCCACUUACUCAAUUAUCAUAUUUACCAUUUUAGAUUAGUACCUCAUUAUUUUUAAUAGUUUUAUAGUAAUUUUUAAAUAUAGGUACUAUAAUUCUUUAUCUCAUUUUAUUGUUUACUGAUAUUAAGCCUGCAAAUAACAUUUAUAAUGAAUAUCGUUUAUGCAUAAGUGUCUCUGAUUGCAUGUGUAUGUGCUGUAGAGGUUAGACUAAUGUAACUGAAGAAUAGAUUCUUAGAUUUUUGAUUUCUGGGAGAAAGAGAGGACAAUCUUAAAAUUAUAUACAUAUUCCCAGGUUACUCUCCAAAACCCAUAUCUACUCACACCAAAUAUUUAUGACUAUACACUCUGCCCACCUUUGCCCACACUGAAUAUUGUCGAAUCUUUUUAUUUAAGUAGCUAGGUAAAAAGUAUAACUUUAUUUUAUUAGAUUAAUGAAGUUGAACAUCUUUUUAUGUGUUUCCUUCUAUUUAUAUGUCAUUUAUAUGUCUUCUAAUGUCAAGUUGCUUCUAUUUAUAGGCCAUUUAUAUGUCUUCUAAUGUCAAGUUGCACUCUUAUUUUCUUUAUUUUGUUAUUGAGGUAUAUAUCUUUUCAUUUCAUAUGAGCUCCCAAAUUUUACUAAAUUUGAAUGCAGAAGUUACUCUUUAUUAAUGUGCUAAUUAAAUGUAUUUCUCUGUUUAAAUGUAUUUUAAACUAUAUUUUAAAUAAAGGUACUCAGAAUACAGCACAUUGAAGCAACCUUGGAGUGAUUUAUUUUAGGAUUGUUCAUUAAGUAAGAGCUACAUGGAGAAACAGACUUAAUCUAUCUAACGGCACAUAGAAGUACAACAAACUCACAGCACACACCUUCUAGACUUUAAGAUCAUGUAAAAGAUGUCAACUUUGUACUGUCUGUUCUUAAUCAUUGCAGUAUGUUGAAAGUGAUUUUAAAA
rnacentral:lncRNA from 10 species